AGGGGGAGGGGAGAGAAGAUUCACUGCCAGCUCGGGCCCAAGGGGUUUGAUUUGAAUGCAGUCGAAUUAUAGUUUUAACAAUUUGAUAAAAAUGGGUUUCUCCUCCCUAGCCACCUCCUCCCCAGGCGAUGAGCUGGGGGUUUAAACAGGAAAUUGAGGAGUGCUCCCCUCCCCCACGCGGGCUUAGCUCGGAGUCUCAGUCGCGCUCAGAAGAGGAUGGGGUGCUGUUGGUUCGUAUUGAAGGCUCUUACAGGGAGGACUGUUCUGCGGAGCGCUCCGAACGGACAAACCACAAUAAAAAGUUCACGUUCAUGGAUGGAAUCCACAUGACUUCUUGUGGCCAAUCCAACUUGUAAUAAGGUUGGAUCUAGGGGAAUCAACGCUUUGCGAAGAUUUGUAACCUGAGGAAUGAAGUUAAAGGCCCGAAAAGCGUUACUCUUACCAUCCCUACCGCUCUCCCUCCACGCCUGGAGAGAACAACAUCCUUUCUAUUUUCCUUCUCUGGUGUCUUUCAUUAACCCUCAUCCCACCCAGGACAGAAACAGAAGUGGCAAACCUGGCAGCCUCUCAACCAAGGCUACCCAGGACGUGAUGAAAAGAGCUGACAGGACUAGACCAGCCCUGGGCAGUUCUGGCAGCAGAAGGGCUGAGAAUCUGGGGUGUCCUCCAGAACCCUCCAAGCACCUCUCAUCCCAAGGUCUCUUUCUCGGACAGAAUGGCAUUAGCUCCCCUAAAGAUCAUUGCUAGUAUGAUCUCCACGCCUCCAAGGUUCUAAUGGCAGCUUACAAUCCUUUUAGACAUAAAAGCAAAAUUAAAGGCCAUUCUUUUGGUCUGCAUUUCCUAUUUCUUUGGGGUGCAAGGCAGUUUGAAACCUUUCCUCUCUUGUCUGGUUUCCCACACCCACCUGCCUUUUUCAGAAAAUUUUCCUGGUUUGGUGUCUAGACAUCUGGGAUAUGUUUCUGAGGCCCUAAAAGAACCUUUUUACUGCCCUGAACUCUAUCUUCUGAAUAAAAAUUCCAGCCAUCCCCGCUUUAUUUCUCCAGACCCCUAAUUUUGGUAGUGAGCUCCAUGUGGGGAGUCCA